GUUCCACACUAUCUAUUGGGUACAAUUAGCCCCAUGGUUUAGUUUAGUGCAACGGUGAAUGCAGGCGGUGAACGGUUAAAAAGCCAGAAGUCGAAGGUUACCGAAAUUCAAAAUGUGCUGAUUUGGCAAAUUUGGUAAACGUGGCGGCUCUCAAGGUGGCAAUGGACGGUGCAAAAUCGGUAAGAGUCUGGUCAACUGGGUCCACACGAGUCGGUUACGAGAUCAUGGGAAUGUAUAAGGGCGCCAAUAAAUUAUUUAAAAUUACGUAUCUGUUUUGGGUUUGGGGCAUUGGUGCUGAGUUUUUUCCUAAAAUGGUGUAGUUGGAAAAAUUAUUUACCUAAA